GUUUCCUAAGUGUAGUGCUUAUCACAUCUGCUUAACACGCAGAAGGUCCUGGGUUCGAAACCCAGUUAAAACU
rnacentral:tRNA from 1 species